CGCCGCUGAUUGCGCGAUGUGCGCAGCGCAGUUUUGUGCCGGUCGUUGGUUAGGCCGUGUGUGUUUCUCGCGUCUAUUAUCGUUUUAUUUUGUGUGUGUAAUUCGGUAAAUCGCGUUCAUUUCAAUCGUCCCUCGACUGCAUUUAGUUAUUACAGCGGUGUUUAGUGAUUAUUAGUACAUAAUCGGGUGUUGAAUAUACAAAAUCGAUCAUUUUCUUUGCGUUCGUUGUGCGUAUUGCAAGAUGGCCGCGUGCUAUUAACUUGUUUAUACUGAAUGCACGCGAGAUACAGGUAGCAUGAAUCGGCAACGUUUGUUGUGAUCGUUCGGUGUAUUUUCGGUUGGGAACCUGGACAAUGUUCUUUAUAGAAGCCGAGAAGGAACGAAGUUUCAUUCAUACACGUGCAGUCAAGUCGACUUUGCCUAGGACGAGGCAGGACAAUAUCUUACCUUGUUAUUUGGUUCAAUUUUAGUUCUUGGUGAAGUGUGCACCAAAUAUUUGCCCGAAGAUCAUCUUUUAAUGGAGGGCAUUGCACAUCAUUGACUUGGCUACCAGCAGUGGCGUCUGUCCUGUCCAUGUUCCAGCGACCUUCAUGCACCGCGAGAAAUAAAGAAUUUGGAGCGUAAAACACCCACUGAUGUAUGCUGCGGUGGAAAAUACACUCGACAAUCUCCUGCCAUUUGAUUGAAUCGCACAUAUGAUCGGCUUUCCAACUACAUCAUCCAAAGGGACGCCUACCAGCCUGGUGGAAAGCAACUGCGUUUCGACGGGAUGCGAUACCUGCAUAUUUUGUCGCCAAUCUUACGCCCACACAUUAUUUUUCAAACUACAGUAGAAUCUUGAUAACUCGAACCUUGUUAAGUCGUAAUCCUCAGUAACUCGAAAAGAUAUGCUAUUCCCUUCCGCUGAACCCCGAACGACGCACUAACUCGAAUUUUUUAGACUCAGUAACUCGAACAAUAAGUUAUUUCCCUGUGAGGCAUUACUCGUACAUUUUAAUACUCAGUAACUCGAACUGCAAAUACUACCUCAGUAAGUCGAAGUUCAUAACAUUUUAUGAUUUCUUACUCGAGAUUCCCGGAGCUCAAAACUCGGGAUUCCCGGAGCUUAAAACUCGUGGCAAUAAAAUCAAAAAUAAAUGUUCGGGGCUCGGGGCCUCUUAUCUAUUGUUUUUGUUUUGCACACGUGCAAGGAAUGAAUUCAUUCAAUAAACUUUCUAAUUUCUAAGAAA